GGAGGAGAAAUUUCCGUGGCUGCUUGCUUGUUGCACGACAUGAGCUUGUGCUAGGGUUGGAUGCACGUCUCUGUCCAAAACAGGCUUACAGCUGUGCUGCGCAACAGAUCGACAUCACCCCCUCAUGCCUGCAUGCCUCACAAAUGCACACACACAUAUAUAUUCCUUUUUAAUUUCAGAAACAGAAAAAAAAAACCAC
rnacentral:lncRNA from 1 species